ensembl:lncRNA
CCCUUUUCCACCUGACUGGCCAUGGUUUCUUGCACUGAUAUGCUUUUCUCCUCCUAGAAUGGUGUUCCUCACAUUGUGGUUGGAUCUACACCACCAUCACCACCACCAUCACUCAGGAGCUUGUUAGAAAUGCAGAUUCUCUGGCUCUGCCCCAGGUACUCUGGGGGUGGGACCCAGCUCUCCCUAUUUUAAUAAGCCCAUGGGGGAUACUAAGUUUGAGGGCCACCGGCAUUGUCUCUUACACCUAAAAUCCCCCAGGAAGAGACUUACUUGGUUUUCUGAUCCACGUGUGGAGGACCUGUCCAGUUGCAUGCAGCUUGCAAUGAUGGAAUGUCUGCCCAAGGAAGAAGGUGCAGCAGGAAAGAUGGCUCUGGGCAUUACCAUAGCAACUGUACCUUUCCAAAGCUGUCAUGGACUACAGGAGCAGGGCGUAAGCAAUGCAGAAGAGGGGGAGUCUGCUGGUGGAAGAAGCACACCCAGCAGUGGAGAGGGCUGUGACAAUAAAUGGAACCUCAGCACAGCUGGGAUUUAUGAACCUGAACCUGGUGGGAUCUCGACUUCCUUGAGACCCAGGAUGCCUCUGGGACCUCUCCAGGGGUCUUCCUAGCUACACAUCAGCACCAGCCCAGGGGGCCCACAAUGCUGACAGAAUAUGCCAGUUCUCUCAAAAGGUCAUUUUUAUGUGUACUUAGUCACUCAGUCGUGUCUGACUCUUUGCAACUCCAUGGACUAUAGCUCGCCAGGCUCCUCUGUCCUUGGGGUUCUCCAGGCAAGAAUAGUGGAGUGGGUAGCCAUUUCCUUUCUCCAGGGGAUCUUCCUGACCCAGGGAUCAAACCUGGGUCUCCUGCAUUGCAAGCAGAUUCUUUACCAUCUGAGCCACCAGGGAGGCAGGUUAAAGUAGGCUAGCUCCUAAAUGGUCAUGAAGCAAUUAAGAAGGAAAUGCCCACUACAGGAUGUAUCCUGUUACAGGUCAGGGUUAAGGACAGGGACCCAGCUUCAAGCUUCUGGUAGGGGUCUGUAUUCAAAAGCAGAUGCCAAGCAGCCAGGAGGCACAGCAGGGGCCUUAGAUAAUGGUAGAUAUUCCAGCUGGAAAAGAAAUCAACUGUUGAGAAUUUAUAUGAAAAUGGACCACCCAGACAUGUGAGUAGUCCCUGUGGCUCUCUCCUGUCUGCUUAGGAUCUUCUGGGUGCUGGUAAAGUGGGAGGCUGGAAGUUUGGAGCCUUUCCUGUGUUUGAAGACUCUGACUAUACUCUUCGGCAAAGGCCAAGCAGAGAGACAGCUGGAAGGUGGUCAGGCCUGCGGGGGCCCAGGAGACACUGCUGUUCACACCUGCACCUCAACUGGCCCAAGCCCUUGGCUGAUUUGAAGCCACUAGUGCUUCAAAUCUGUUCCUUUGAGUAUUUGCACUCUUUGGAAGAAGCAAGCAAUGCACAUGAAUCAGGAGGUGGGAUCUUAACUGUCCUCAGGGGCAGGGUGUGGGAAGUCAGGAUUGCAGAGGCAGCACCGAAUCACCCAUCGGUGUUCUCUGUGAGGCCCGGCCUACCUAGACCUUCCACACCUAAUCUCACCACUGGUUGGCACUGACUGUCCCCCAGGACAUUCCAUUU